rnacentral:rRNA from 1 species
GACGAACGCUGGCGGCGUGCUUAACACAUGCAAGUCGAACGGAAAGGCCCUGCUUUUGUGGGGUGCUCGAUUGGCGAACGGGUGAGUAACACGUGAGUAACCUGCCCUUGACUUUGGGAUAACUUCAGGAAACUGGGGCUAAUACCGGAUAGGAGCUCCUGCUGCAUGGUGUUGGUUGGAAAGUUUCGGCGGUUGGGGAUGGUCUCGCGGCUUAUCAGCUUGUUGGUGGGGUAGUGGCUUACCAAGGCUUUGACGGGUAGCCGGCCUGAGAGGGUGACCGGCCACAUGGGGACUGAGAGAGGGCCCAGACUCCUACGGGAGGCAGCAGUGGGGAAUAUUGCACAAUGGGCGGAAGCCUGAUGCAGAAGCGCCGCGUGCGGGAUGACGGCCUUCGGGUUGUAAACCGAUUUCGCCUGUGACGAAGCGUGAGUGACGGUAAUGGGUAAAGAAGCACCGGCUAACUACGUG